rnacentral:rRNA from 1 species
CCCACGGGAGGCAGCAGUGGGGAAUAUUGCACAAUGGGGGAAACCCUGAUGCAGCGACGCCGCGUGAGUGAAGAAGUAUUUCGGUAUGUUAAGCUCUUUCAGCAGGGAAGAAAAUGACGGUACCUGAUUAAGAAGCCCCAGCUACCUACGUGCCAGCAGCCGCGGUAAUACGUAGGGGGCAAGCGUUAUCCGGAGUGACUGGGUGUAAAGGGAGCGUAGAUGGCUGCGCAAGUCUGAAGUGAAAUGCCUGGGCUUAACCCCGGCACUGCUUUGGAAACUGUGCAGCUAGAGUGCAGGAGAGGUAAGUGGAAUUCCUAGUGUAGCGGUGAAAUGCGUAGAUAUUAGGAGGAACACCAGUGGCGAAGGCAGCUUACUGGACUGUAACUGACGUUGAGGCUCGAAAGCGUGGGGAGCAAACAGGAUUAGAUACCCUGGUAGUC